AAUCAAGCAGGAGAGACCAGCCUCCCCUGUCCCCAGCUGUGUGUCCAUGAAGAGUGAUUGGUCUAUGGGUCGUUUUAUAGAGUUUCUAGUGAACAAAGAAACCAACAGGAGAGAUCAGUGUCAGAGAUGCUCAGUGGACAGUCUUCCCAGAGUCAUCAAACAGACCUGGACUCCAUAUUCAGUUUGCUCCCAGAAGGCUUUGAGAGUCAGAAGCAGGAUAA